AUUGAACGCUGGCGGCAUGCCUUACACAUGCAAGUCGAACGGCAGCACGGGAGCAAUCCUGGUGGCGAGUGGCGAACGGGUGAGUAAUAUAUCGGAACGUGCCCAGUCGUGGGGAUAACGUAGCGAAAGCUACGCUAAUACCGCAUACGAUCUAUGGAUGAAAGCGGGGGAUCGCAAGACCUCGCGCGAUUGGAGCGGCCGAUAUCAGAUUAGGUAGUUGGUGAGGUAAAGGCUCACCAAGCCGACGAUCUGUAGCUGGUCUGAGAGGACGACCAGCCACACUGGGACUGAGACACGGCCCAGACUCCUACGGGAGGCAGCAGUGGGGAAUUUUGGGACAAUGGGCGCAAGCCUGAUCCAGCAAUGCCGCGUGCAGGAUGAAGGCCUCGGUU
rnacentral:rRNA from 1 species